rnacentral:rRNA from 1 species
CGGGUGAGUAACACGUAUCCAACCUUCCCAUAACUCAGGGAUAGCCUUUCGAAAGAAAGAUUAAUACCUGAUAGUACUUUUUCAAGGCAUCUUGAAAAAGUUAAAGAUUUAUUGGUUAUGGAUGGGAUGCGUUCAUUAGAUAGUUGGUGAGGUAACGGCUCACCAAGUCUUCGAUGGAUAGGGGUCUGAGAGGAAGGUCCCCCACAUUGGUACUGAGACACGGACCAAACUCCUACGGGAGGCAGCAGUGAGGAAUAUUGGUCAAUGGGCGAGAGCCUGAACCAGCCAAGUAGCGUGAAGGAAUGAAGGUCCUAUGGAUUGUAAACUUCUUUUAUAGUAGAAUAAAGUGAGCCACGUGUGGUUUUUUGUAUGUAUACUAUGAAUAAGGAUCGGCUAACUCCGUGCCAGCAGCCGC